UACGAAGGGGGCGAGCGUUGUUCGGAUUUACUGGGCGUAAGGGGCGCGUAGGCGGCGGACCAAGUCGAGUGUGAAAGCCCCGGGCUCAACCUGGGAGGUGCGCUCGAGACUGGUUUGCUAGAGUUCGGGAGAGGAGCGUGGAAUUCCCGGUGUAGAGGUGAAAUUCGUAGAUAUUGGGAAGAACACCGGUGGCGAAGGCGGCGCUCUGGACCGAGACUGACGCUGAGGCGCGAAGGCGUGGGGAGCAAACAGG
rnacentral:rRNA from 1 species